GAUGAACGCUAGCGGCAGGCUUAAUACAUGCAAGUCGAGGGACAGCACAGGUAGCAAUACUGGGUGGUAACCGGCAAACGGGUGCGGAACACGUACACAACCUUCCUUUAAGUGGGGGAUAGCCCAGAGAAAUUUGGAUUAAUACCCCGUAAUAUAGUUGAAUGGCAUCAUUUGAUUAUUAUAGCUACGGCGCUUAAUGAUGGGUGUGCGGCUGAUUAGAUAGUUGGCGGGGUAACGGCCCACCAAGUCUACGAUCAGUAGCUGAUGUGAGAGCAUGAUCAGCCACACGGGAACUGUGACACGGGCCCAACUCCUACGGGAGGCAGCAGUAAGGAAUAUUGGUCAAUGGACGCAAGUCUGAACCAGCCAUGCCGCGUGAAGGAUUAAGGUCCUCUGGAUUGUAAACUUCUUUUAUUUGGGACGAAAAAGGGCCUUUCUAGGUCAACUGACGGUACCAGAUGAAUAAGCACCGGCUAACUCCGUGCCAGCCGCCGCCGUAAAAC
rnacentral:rRNA from 1 species